rnacentral:tRNA from 1 species
GAACCUGUAGUCUAGUGGAUAGGAUAAUAGCUUGCGGAGCUAUUGACCCGGGUUCAAAUCCCGGCAGGUUCG